rnacentral:rRNA from 1 species
CUUGCCCGGGAACUACGAGCCCCAGCUUAAAACCCAAAGGACUUGGCGGUGCUUUAGACCCCCCUAGAGGAGCCUGUUCUAGAACCGAUAACCCCCGUUAAACCUCACCCUCCCUUGUUAAUACCGCCUAUAUACCGCCGUCGUCAGCUUACCCUGUGAAGGAUAAAUAGUGAGCCCAAUUGGCACAGCCUAAAACGUCAGGUCGAGGUGUAGCGUACGAGAGGGGAAGAAAUGGGCUACAUUCACUGAAUCAGUGCACACGAACAAUGCUUUGAAACAACCAUUUAAAGGAGGAUUUAGCAGUAAGAGGAAAAUAGAGUGCUCCUCUGAAACUGGCCCUGAAGCGCGCACACACCGCCCGUCACUCUCCCCAAAAAUAAGGCUAUAAUAAAUAAAAAGCAACUAAAACAAAGGGGAGGCAAGUCGUAACAUGGUAAGUGUACCGGAAGGUGCACUUGGAAAAAU